rnacentral:lncRNA from 1 species
AGAACAGACCGUUAGAGGGGACAGACUGGACACAGGGCCCAAUCCAGACACACAGCCCUGGCUCGCCGGACAAGCCAGAUCAUCCGCAGCAUCGUUUACAGGAAGACAUCUCAGCAAAGUUAUCAACUAUAAGAAUCCUAGAAAGAGAAGCCAGGUUCUCACAACACGUACAGCCCGUUGGAUGCCGGAGCAAUUUGGCUUAAAAUGCCCCCGACGUGAGUUUUAUCUCUUCUUCGUUAUUUGCUGGCAUGACAUCAU